rnacentral:rRNA from 1 species
AACAAAAACAUGUCCUUUAGAUUUUAAUUUAAGGUCUAACCUGCCCAAUGAUUAAUUUAAUGGCCGCAGUAUUUUGACUGUGCAAAGGUAGCAUAAUCAUUUGUUUUUUAAUUGAAAGCUAGAAUGAAUGGUUGAACGAAAAAAAGACUGUCUUUAAUUAUUAAAUUGAAUUUAAUUUUUUAGUUAAAAAGCUAAAAUUUUAUUAAAAGACGAGAAGACCCUAUAGAUCUUUAUAAUAAUUUUUAUAAAUUUAAUUAAGUUUUUUUAAAAAAAAAUUGUAUUUAUUAUUAUUUUAUUGGGGUAAUAAAAAGAUAAAAUUAAUUCUUUUUUAUAUUUAAUAUAUAAUAAUAAUUUUAAGAUCCAUUAAUAAUGAAAUAUGAUUAAGUUACCUUAGGGAUAACAGCGUAAUUUUUUUAGAGAGUUCAUAUCGAUAAAAAAGUUUGCGACCUCGAUGUUG